UAGGAUAAGAUCCUUAUAUUUACAGCGGAAUGAUAUACAAAGUAAACAGAUCUCAAUGAAUAAAAAAUAGUAUUUAUGGCUACGCAAACCGUUGAGGAUAAUUCUAGAUCUGGUCCAAGACGAACUGUUGUAGGUGAUUUAUUGAAACCAUUAAAUUCAGAAUAUGGUAAAGUAGCUCCGGGGUGGGGAACUACUCCCUUGAUGGGUGUUGCAAUGGCUCUAUUUGCGAUAUUUCUAUCUAUUAUUUUGGGUAGGAAGUGUAGUCGCCAAAAGGCGAGUUGAACGAAGGGCCUAGGGAAGUCGGGGCUGAGCAACCUUUCUCUAGCUUUUUCAGUGGGGGAACUUGGCCUGGGAGGGGCUUCAGAUGAGCUCCUUUGAGAUCUCAAAGCGGAAAUCCUCCGGUUUAUGGAACACUUACAGAAUAUCGAUGCACCGGCUAUUCCCCAUCAUGUGCAGCUCCUAGGAUCACAGCUUUUAUUGCAUCAACAGCUGAUUCAAUUGCUAGUCCUCCAACACCGCUUACGGAUGAAGUUCCGCUUGCAUUCUCUUCUUUUUCUUUAACUAUGUCAUAUGCUUUCACAAAAGGAAAGAAAGCUGGGCAGAAAAUGGUCGCUUGGAACUCCACUCUCACUAUGGGACAGAGUAGUUUUACUAUUUAUAUUUAUAGUAAGGGGAAGUAGGUCGAUUGAAUUGAUCCCUAUCCCUACCAGUCUUUGGAACUAAAUGGAACCCGGUCUCUUUGAUAUGUAGUUCCCAUUGGCACUGACCCAGAAGAACCACAUCUGUCUCAAGCUCAAGCCGACCCAACCUGAAGAAAACUACUGAAUCAGAAUCCGCUCUUGGGAUAGGAAUUCAGCCAAUCUUUCCGCAAAAUUCCCGGGAAAAUGAAACUGUAUCGAUUUCAAUGUCCGUCUAUAGGCAAAAAUUGACUUGCAAUAAAAAAUACGGGGUUUUAGCGAGUUGAUCGAUUUGAAUGUCCGUUUAUGGGCAGAAAUCUAUUUGCAACUAAUUUUCCCGAGAAAACGUGAAAUAAAGAAAGGAGUGAAGUAGCCCAUGCGUAUAUGGGAUCCGAACGGUUAAGAGUUAUGGCUUUUCGUUGAGGACUUACCCCUUAAACUUAAGGAGCAUUCGACUGAGAUUAGAUUAGAUUAGUGGGUAGCACUUGUUGAAUUGAAUAAGAUGUUCUUGCUCAGAAUUAGGGAAGGUGGGAUCCUAUCUUUAGGAAAAGAAAGGCCUAACGAAAGCUAGCACUCUUUUCAAGCCUAUAGCCUAUAUAUGAAUUAUUCUCAGCCAUCCAUAUGGGAGUUCCCCGCCAGCCUGUGGGAGUGCCACUAUCAAUAGGAAACAGACUUCUUUCCUCCUUAUUCUAUCAAACAAGCAAUUAAAUACCUUAGGAUAUCUCAUAUUUUACAUUAUUAAUCUAGCAUUGGACUCUUACCUGGACUAAGAACACUUCUAGUUCUAACAAUACGUUUCAUAACGAGCUAAACGUGCUACCAAAUGAAAUGGUCGAAGGUCUUUUCAGUUCUCCUUCCAAUUGCUGCAGUACUAAGGCCAGUUCUUACAGUUGGAGUCCUAUCCUAAUAGAAUCCCUUACCAGCCGAGCUUCCCACUAUAAUAAGCGAGUUGGAGAAAAAAGGUAAACCUAUCCAAUAGCAGUCCUAUGGUAAGCAAGCUCAGGUUCAGUAUACAUAGGAUAUGCUUUUUCCUAUCUCUGCUCUGGUUCAGAACCCUAUAACUAACUAGGAUUCCCUGGUAGAGCCAUAGAUAAAGAUUCUUUUGAUGUCUUCUCCGCUUGAGACGGAAAGACGGCUGCUCUGUGAACAACCCUAGUUGCUGGUCCUGUUCCUGCUGCUAACUGCCACCUCUGCUCCAAUACAUAAAGCAGCUGAAGCUAUUGAUUGUAGCAGCUCCGUCCCAUUCAUCACUGCUUUAUGUUAAAAAGAAAAGAGCUGCUCCUCUCCGAUCUAAGCCCUCUCUCUAGUCAGAAAUAGCGUCAGUAAGUUAAUCAGGAUAGAUCGACAGGCCAGCAAAGGCCUUCUACCGCAGCGGGCCCACAGGCCUAUGCCAAUCUCUUAGGGCAGGUUCUCUUUCAUCCGUCUUUCCUAGGUGCGCAUCUCCAUCUACUAAAAGUAAGGGUGGUUACCAUAGAUAGAUUGGGUCAUUCGUAACCGAUGCUUUAGCAUAAACUACAGCUCUUUCAUCAACUACAGCAAUAUCCGAUGUAGCACAUUCUCCCUCUUUCGCAUAUCCGAUGCUUUGCAAGCAACCUUGGUGUCAGCAUCGUCACUUGAGUCAUCCUAGAACAACCCUGCCUAUUCAAAAGAAGUACCUCACCUCACUUACGAAGAAGUAGUGGGAGCUGGGCUCUCGAUUCAGUUGGAUAGCCAGUCUACCUAGGUAAGAGUUACGUCGACCCUGCAGGGUAUCCGAGAGGGGCACAAUGCAGGCUGGAGAUCAUCUGGUAAGGAGAAUCCCCAGGCUUUAGAUAGUUUAGAGGGACUAGGCAAUGAGCCCGGAUAAUCGAAUGGAACUCUUCUUUCUUUCAGAACCUUUCUAAGGUCAUAUAUGAAUAAAGGUUAUAUAUAAACGAUCUGACAGGACUCAAUGGAGUUGCUUUUAAAGCGAGCGAGUAGUCUUUGCCAAAGUUAGGGGCUGUCAGGACUUAGAUAGAAAUUUCACAAUGAGAGAAGUGUCAGAGUUCGAAUAGAAGGUAAUGGAGUGAAGUACGUAGCCCUUAGGAAAGUGCACGAGAAAAGGAAAAAGAGUUGUGAGUUUGACUUUCUCUUUUACCACAAUAAGCCGUGUAGUUACCGGAUCGGGACAAAGAGUCGGUUUAGUCGGAGAUAAACAGAGUCGGGUCGAUGAACAGAGCCGAUAUCGACACCGAAAUAUAUCACUGUCUUUGACGCUUCUAGGCAAUAUGCCAUCGAUUACCUCAAAACUACUUUGAAAUUCAGCAUGACAUAGGUACCUACUUCGAAUCUUCCUUGAGAGCUGGGAUAAGUACGGAAUUUCACUCUGGUGGAAUCGCUUCUAUCCUUAGCCCGGUACCGAGGGAGGGCUUUCCGAGACCAAUGCUAUCAAGAAGUCACUAGACUGACUAUUAUUGCAUCGAGAAAGAGUGAAAAGAUCUCCCCUCAAGAACUUCUGUUAUUCUUAUUCUUUUUUGCCGCUAGCCCUUCCUCUCUUUCAACGCUUGGCCACUCGAUUGCUAUUGUCGCCUUGGAGCCCGCCCUUGGCUGGUUUCACCCCUUCUCUAGUAGCCUUGCCUGCAACCUUGAGAAAUUCUUGUGUGACUUAUGAAUGAAAGGAAAUUCCUUGCUUUAGAAAAGAGAAGAGCGCCGCAACAGCUAAUUCAUCUAAAUCAAUGGCACGUGAGGUGAGGGAAGGAAGGGCGGGAUGAAGCAAGCAGCCAAUCCCUUGCUGGUUAAAAAUUGCAGCAUCAGUAUUAAUCUUAUAAACACCAUGGGGUGGGGCCUGCCAACCUAUAGGUGUUUGCACUAUUUUUAGCUUCUCCUUCUUAUACUCUUCGAAGAAGCUGAUUGCUUUGUUCACCACAUCCACAGGAUAGUUCUGUAUGUCCUGGAACAGCAGCAAAUUUCUAUCACUCCAUAAAGCCCAUGCAACUACUAGCAUAAGUUCCAGCUGCUCUUCAUCAAGACACUUCCCCAUCUCCUUCACCCAAUCUGAGAAGUUGAGAGCCUGCAUCUGUUGAGUAUGAAGGGCUAAUGGGCAGAGUAGCCAAAUGCCAGAUGCCCAGGGGCAGCCCUUUAAAACAUGAAUGGUAGAUUCAGGCUCCAUUCCACAUCUGUCACAAAGCAGGUCAACCUCCACCUUUCUUUUCCCAUUUCACUCGUCUUGCAUAAAAAAACCACCUAAAUCCACAUCUAAAAGGGAGCCCGCGAGAAAAAUGCCUCCUCUAUGAGAUCUCGGUGCUACUGCCCAGCCCCACCUUAAUUUUUUCGAAUUACGAUCGACUUUUUUUUCCUAAGCUAAGAUCUAGGGGGGAGGAGCUCUUCUUGCGUAGUAUACCUUUUACCAGAAAUUCCAGGCUCGUAUUAAUAACCAGUAUAACCCCGGACCUUUUGAGCAAGCGCUAUGGAGAUAGCGAAUGCUAGCGUUAGCCCAGCCAUCCACAUUGCAAGAGCUCUGGGUGUUCUUUCCAUUGAAGCUUCACUGGCCACCUCCCUGGCUUGCUCACUGAGGUGGUCUACUAGCUGCCUUACUUCUGCGGAAGAACUUGCCGGUUCCCCGAUUUGCGUUGCCUCCGCCAGCUGCUGUAACUCAGGGAUGCUUGGGGGUGUCUGUGCUAGACAGUCCCACCAUAUCGCGCACCCAAGAUAUAGCGCUGGUAAGAUUAAGCUGAGAACUUCCGUGACGUGCUGCCCUUGCCCCGACCCCGCCUGAGUGCUCUGUUGCCCCUGGUGUACCUGUAGCUCUCUGGUCUUGACCCACGGCGAGCUUUUUCUCUCGUAAUGCCCCGUAGGCCUCUCUCGGGUGACCUAAGCAUUUGGUACUUCGAUCUUUUAUUAGGUUGGCGCCAGGUAAAUAAGGGGCUCAAGAAUCCAUUCCCGCCGGCAUCUUAGUAUAUGCCAUUCCUUCCGUUCCUAGGAAAUUCGACCUGAGGCCAAGAAUCUGUAUAUGAAAAAUCACUAGAUGACAAUCGAAGUCCCUCUUUCUUUAUUCAAAAAGGCUUUUCGCCCUCCACUUUGUGCCUUGAGGCUGGCUUUGAGGAAGAAAAGCUGCUGUCAACUCCAAAACCUCUGGGUCGGAUCCUGCCCCACGUGGUCCUCACUUCAGGUCCCACAUUUCUCUUCCUUUGUUUGAUUUCCCUCAAAUCUCUUGCCCCUUCUAGGUCAGGUUCGUAUUCAAACCUUCUUUCCAAAUCAGUCCUUGUUCAUUUCAUUCGUGGUGCUCUUGGCACAAUGGUCUAAUCUGGAGGAGGGAAGUUGGAUGUUUUUCUCUAUUUAUCAUCACUACGGGCCAUAUGGCCAGAU
rnacentral:lncRNA from 1 species